rnacentral:rRNA from 1 species
UACGUAGGGUGCAAGCGUUGUCCGGAAUCAUUGGGCGUAAAGAGCGUGUAGGCGGCUCGAUUAGUCCGCUGUAAAAGUCCAGGGCUCAACCCUGGGAUGCCGGUGGAAACUGUCGGGCUAGAGUCCGGGAGAGGCGAGUGGAAUUCCUGGUGUAGCGGUGAAAUGCGCAGAUAUCGGGAAGAACACCCGUGGCGAAGGCGGCUCUCUGGGACGGUACUGACGCUGAGACGCGAAAGCGUGGGGAGCGAACAGG